UACGUAGGUGGCAAGCGUUGUCCGGAAUUAUUGGGCGUAAAGCGCGCGCAGGCGGCCUCUUAAGUCUGAUGUGAAAGCCCCCGGCUCAACCGGGGAGGGUCAUUGGAAACUGGGGAACUUGAGUGCAGAAGAGGAAAGUGGAAUUCCAAGUGUAGCGGUGAAAUGCGUAGAGAUUUGGAGGAACACCAGUGGCGAAGGCGGCCUUCUGGUCUAUAACUGACGCUGAGGCGCGAAAGCGUGGGGAGCAAACAGG
rnacentral:misc_RNA from 1 species